rnacentral:tRNA from 2 species
GCCCCUGUAGCUCAACGGUAGAGCGAUAGGCUUUUAACCUAUGCGUCGCGGGUUCGACUCCUGCCAGGGGUACCA